rnacentral:misc_RNA from 1 species
GAUGAAGAACGUAGCGAAAUGCGAUAAGUAGUGUGAAUUGCAGAAUUCAGUGAAUCAUCGAAUCUUUGAACGCACAUUGCGCCCCUUGGUAUUCCAUGGGGCAUGCCUGUUCGAGCGUCAUUUGUACCUUCAAGCUUUGCUUGGUGUUGGGUGUUUGUCCCUCGGGACUCGCCUUAAAGUCAUUGGCAGCCAGUGUUUUGGUUUUGAAGCGCAGCACAAGUCGCGAUUCAAGGCUAUCCGCCCGCUUCCACAAGCCUUUUUCACUUUUGACCUCGGAUCAGGUAGGGAUACCCGCUGAACUUAAGCAUAUAAAUAAGCGGAGGA